rnacentral:rRNA from 1 species
GACUAGUAUGAAUGGCGACAUGAGGGUCACCUUGUCUCUUAUAAUAAGUCUAUGAAACUGAUCUUCCAGUACAAAAGCUGGAAUAAACCCACAAGACGAGAAGACCCUGUGGAGCUUUAAACUUCAACUCAUCCUAUAUGACCUUGCAGUUUUUAGUUGGGGCGACUUUGGAGCAAAACUAAACCUCCAAACCAUUUUAACCUAGGCCGUCACGCCAAACCAUCAACCACUGACCCAAUAUAAUUGAUCAAUGAACCAAGUUACCCCAGGGAUAACAGCGCAAUCUUCUUCUAGAGUCCCUAUCGACAAGAAGGUUUACGACCUCGAUGUUGGAUCAGGAUACCCAAAUAGUGCAGCCGCUAUUAACGGUUCGUUUGUUCAACGAUUAAUAAUCCCACGUGAUCUGA